UGAUUCAGUGUUUACUUCAUGAAUGAGGUCAGUUCCCAGCACAGCUGGGGUUUUAGCAAAGGAAUCAGAGCUGCUGGUCAGCAGACAGCAUUCCCACUAGAAUCUGACCGGAGUUGUCGGCGUUGCCAGGACGACGUUCUCAUAGUUUACCCAGGCUCGCCACUCUCUCUGGCACUUUCUGGGGCCUGGCUCUCCUCACCGCCCUGCCAACGCUCCCCUGUGGGAGCACAGGAGCCGCAGCUGGCACACGGCGGGCCUGCGACCGGGUUCCCACGGCACACUGCUUUGCUCUCCACCCUGCACCCUUGCUAUGGCGACAUCUCACCCCUUAGGAGCUUCAGGACUGCCAGGAAACAGGGAGGGAAGACUUAACCCAGAGCGAUGCAGCUUGGUAUCUGAUCACUGAGAUGAACCGGCUGUGUGGGCCGGUGGCAGCUAGGACAGGAAGAGAGCUCUUCCAGAUGACCUUAUAAGGCGAGAAUUAACAGUCCGGGGCACCUAACAGGGUUUGGGAGCCACCGAUGAGAGAGCAUGGCCGGGGGUCAGUGAAAGAAGCCUGGAAACAAGAGAGCUGGAUGUCCCUGGGCUCAGCCGCGCCGAGCAGCCCCGCACCCACCAUGACACAGAGGGUGCUGAGGCCAACUUGGUGCAAGCAAGCUGCACGAUCCCAAGCAUGCAGAGACUAGUGGAAGGCUGCUGUGCGAGGGUCCCUGUGAAAAGGCAGUGUCACAGGCCCACACAGAUCCGAGGUGAAGGAGGGGAGGGGAUGAGCGGCCCCAGGUCUGCAGGGCACGCCGGGUCUGAGGAUACAGCCACGGAGCAGCGAGUCAGAAAACACAGGGCAAAGGCAGCAAGUGUUUCACAAGGCGAAAUAUAUUCCAUUCAAAGGCCAUCCAUUGGUCAUUCAUUCUGAGAUGAAGUAAUCCCGUGGGAAGAGCUUUCUUUUUAGAAAAUGAUCAGAGUAGUAUGUGCCACUGGCCUUAAAGUUCUCAUUUGGCAAAAUGAGAAGUUGGAAACAUCAAGUAAGUGCUUCCAAUUAAACAGGAGAAAAAAAUGGCUGGCUUAGGAAGCCAUGAACUUGAGGGUUAUCCAGGGCUUGAGUUGGCACCUCCGCACCGCCCGGUUUGCCAACGGCCCUGGUGGGAGGCGUCCUGCGGUGGCGGGCAGAGGCGCGUGGCCCGGCCUCGGGGGUCCUGGCCCACCCUGGCCUCCUUGAAACGACCAACAGCCGCAGGAAGAAAAAGGUCUUGCUGCAGUGUCGUGGCUACAGCGGCACCCUGGGUGACCAGCGCCUGUUUGGAUGGACUCUUUUCAGAGAAAGGCUCCAUUUUGUCAGAGCUGCUUUCUGAGGAUCUCUUCACCACUAAAGACCCCAAAGGGAUUGCUGCUGGACCUGGAAAAGGGGGGACGUACUUUUGAGUCAUAAAACGGAAUGGAAACUAGUGUGUAGUCUGUUUUGCUCGAUACGAAAAUUGGUUGUUUUAUCAAAAAAGCCUGUGUGAGGCCAGCUAUGUCUUCUCUCAUAAAAUCAUCCCGCCGCCCAGUAGGAAACGGCGAUGCCUAUAAGCCGCUUGCCAAGCGGUGCGGUCGUGAGAAUCUGGAAGGCGCUCCGUCCGCCUUCCUGUGCCUUUGAAAUUUGGAAGCAGGGCCAGGACGGUGAUGAAGGAGUGUGGCGCCCCCUGGUGAGAGCUGUUGGGCACACCCAGGUGACCUCCACCUGCAGUGGCCGUAGCUCAGGGUUUCCAGUGGCCUAAACAUCGUCCUCCUUUGUGCAAAACCCAGGAUUAGUAGCUUUGCACAGGGCCCUUCAGUGCGGAGCUGACAUGCUUCAAUCUCACAAGACCUAAUGUAGAUUUUGGCCGAGUGGGGAAGAGAUGUUUGUCUCAGCAGGGGAUGCACAGAUUAGGGAAGGGCUGACAUCACAGAGAGCCAGUCAGCCGAGCAGGCCCCAGGGAAGGAGGCCAUACGCUAUCUUGGGCAGCCAUCGCUGCUGCCGCAGCAGGUUGGAGGGUGCGGUUCCUCCAGGGUAAGGACUGGGCAGCCAUCAGGAAGUCUUCAAGUUGAACCAAGCAGCCCUGUCCAUCUGGGAUAAAAGUAGUUUGUCAGAUCUGGUUAUAGAAAGUCCCAGGAAACACAAAUGCCACAUGCUUGUAAAAGGACAUGGUCUCAGAACAGCCCAGCACCAGGACUUGCCUUCUGGGUUAAGUGGAAAAGCUUGUGAAAGGCCAAAGAAGAUGAAUUCUGUCCUUCCCAGGUCCUGACUUGAAGCCAAGAGGAAGUUAUAGGGAGUGAGUUCUGGAUGCUGACCUGAUGCUGUAAGAUUCUCUCCAGGCUCGUACUUACAAGCCUGAAGUUUCCAGGUUCCAAACUGUGAUUCCGUCCAAGGCCAGAUGAUUUGAUUCCCAUAAAUUACAUCUGUCUCCGAGUAGUGUUAAUAAGGAGCACUCUGGGCGUGAACCAGGUUCCCCGGGGAUCCAAGAGGAAUUCCUCUCCCCACCAUAUGUGUUAUUCAGGUGGUGGGUUCCUUCCAGGCAUUCCGAAAUUCCAGGGAGGGAUCAACCACACAUUGUUGAAAUUAGACAAGAAGGACUUGAAUGCAUCCCGACCCCUGGAGGAGGCCUGCACGCCCAUCUCCUGCAGAGGGUUUGAAGGUCCCUGAAGCUGGUGCUCAGAUGGCCCAGCAGGGACCCUGAGAAAGAAAUUCAGAAGAUUCCUUCAUAACAUCAUCAAUCCCACAAUCCCACUUGAGAAGGUCUGAAGAUUGCAUCUACUCUCUGGCUUUAAAAUGCCCAAUUUUACAUAGGUUUGCUUGUUUGGGUUUUUUUUUUUUUUGGAAGUACAAGAACAGCAAUGAUCAAACUUGGAAAGCAUCCUUGCAUUUUCAAUGGAGCAGAAUAGUAAAAACUUUGCUAGGUUCAGAGUCUUGCUGGUGGUGUUGGGAGGGAGGCAGCCCCCAGGGAGGGACACAGGAAUGGGGAAAAGAGCUGAGGGUUUUUAUUCCCAGUUCUUCAUCUUCACAGUGCCUACAGCUUUCAGCCCUGUUCCCUUUUUUCUUCUUACUUUUGUGUCAAAUAAUGCUUUUUAUUGAGACAGAAUUCACAUACGGGACCAUUCGCCCUUUUAAAGUAUACAAGGCAGUGGGCUUUAGCAUAUUUGCCGACUAACACAGCCAUCAACACAAUCCAUUUUAGAACAUUGUUAUCACCCCAGAAGGAACCCCAUAUACAUCAGCCAUCAUCCGCCAUCUCCUCAUACCCUCUCAGCCCUGGGCAACCACCAACCUACUUUGUCUGUAGAUUCGCCUAUUCUGGACAUUUCAUGUAGGUGGAGUCAUACAAUAGCUCAUCUUUCAUGUCUGGCUUCUUUCACUUAGAAUAAUGUUUUCAGGGUUCAUCCAUGAUGUAGCAUAUGUCCUUACUUCAUUUCUUUUUAUGUUGGCAUAAUUUCCCAUUGCAGGGAUGUACCACAUUUUAUUUAUCCAUUCACCAUUUUAUGGCCAUUUGGGUUAUUUCCACCUCUUGCUGUUAUGAAUACCGCUGCUACGACCAUUUGUGAAUACGAUUUUGUUUACACACAUGUUUUCGUUUCUCUUGUUUAAUACCAAGAAGUGAAAUUUGUCAGAUUAUAUGGGAAGUCCUUGUGUAACCUUUCCAAGAACUGCCAGACCAUUUUCCACCCUUAU